rnacentral:lncRNA from 1 species
AUCCCAUUACGAAAUGAACACAGAAAAGGCAGGUCUGCAAUGCCAACAUCUAGUAUCUAUCCCAAAGACCAGGGAGAAAGGAAGGAAAGAUUCUGGUUCUGUCCUCUUCCCCAAGGCAAGGCUGGCUGCCCUACCAACAGAGGCAAAGAGAAGAGUGUGCAAGGCUGGCUGCCCUCCCAACAGAGGCAAAGAGGAGUGUGUGUUGAAAUAUCCAUUGAAUCCCUGAGACAACUGGAUCCUGGCCCAUUGAAUCAUAAACUCAGAAACCAUGCCGAUUACCGACCGAGCUCUCAAUGGAAAAAUGCAGUCGGCGUGAACCACGCACGAACACAGCAGAGAAAGAAGAAAACACACACCACGAGGAACCCUAAUAGGACAAUACAUUAUAAGCCUCAUGGUACAUCCACUUGGUGUGCUGGGAGAGUCAGGAUGAGGACCUGAGAAGAACAGCAGCUUGAACCUGACUUCAUUUAACAGCCCACUGCCCUCUUGCCAAGAACCCAUCACAGACCUUCCCAGAAGAGAGGGAUGAGCCUCACCUAUGAAUAAGUCCUCAGAAACUCAAAUUUGAUUCUAAUGGAUUGUUUUCUCAGAAAGACUGAGCAUGUCCCCCCACAUCUCUGUCAUUUCCCACAGUAGUAACCUCUGCAGAUGCCACAUAGAAAACAAAACAAAACAAAAAAACAUGAGGUUGGUGGGCAGAUAGGCAGGGUAUAAACAAACAGCCUUGUAACCCAGAAGCUGUGUGAUAUACAGUAAACUUCACAACACUGAAAAGAUGUCCUAUCUGUUAAAAUGGGGUAAUAACAACUACCCGAAUGUUUAGGAAUAGAACUUCAAUAAAUGAUACAUUUUAUAGUACAGCAGACCA